rnacentral:lncRNA from 1 species
GUUUGUUUCUUUUUACUCUUUUUUCUCUAAACUUCUCUUCUCGCUUCAUUUCAUUCAUGUCGUCUUUCAUCGAUGAUACCCUUUCUUCCAGUUGAUCGCAUCGACUACUGAGGCUUGUGCAUUCGUCGCAUAGUUCUCAUGCCAUGGUUUUCAGCUCCAUCAGGUCCUUUAAGGACUUCUCUGCAUUGGUUAUUCUAGUUAGCCAUUCUUUUAGCCUUUUUUCAAGGUUUUUAACUUCUUUGCCAUUGGUUCGAACUUCCUCCUUUAGCUCGUAGUUUGAUCUUCUGAAGCCUCCUUCUCUCAACUCGUCAAAUUCAUUCUCCAUCCAGCUGUGUUCCGUUGCUGGUGAGGAGCUGCUUUCCUUUGGAGGAGGAGAGGUGCUCUGAUAUUUAGAGUUUCCAUUUUUUCUGCUCUUUUUUUUCCCCAUCUUUGUGGUUUUAUCAACCUUUGGUCUUUGAUGAUGGUGAUGUUUUUGGUGUGGAUGUCCUUUCUGUUUGUUAGUUUUUCUUCUAACGGUCAGGACCCUCAGCUGCAGGUCUGUUGGAGUUUGCUGGAGGUCCACCCCAGAUCCUGUUUACUUGGGUAUCAGCAGUGGUGGCUGCAGAGCAGCGGAUAUUGGUGAACCGCAAGUGCUGCUGCCUGAUCGUUACUGCAACCUCUGCCUCCUAUAUUCAAGUGAUUCUCAUGCCUCAGCCUCCCAAGUAGCUGGGAUUACAUGCAUGCGCCACCACACUUUAUUUUGUUUUAUUUAUUUUAUUUUAUUUUAGUAGACACGGGAUUUCACCAUGUUUCCCAGGCUGGUCUCAUCUCUUGGCCUCAAGUGAAGUGCCCACUUCAGGGACAUAUAUUGUAUGGUACUGUAGAGUGCUUUAUACUUAUAUUUAUCCUAACCAGAUGUUAGCUCUUAGAAUCUCAUCCUCCUACUUUCCAAAGUCCCUGCACCCAUCACCAGGCCCCCAAGGGAUAUGGACAGGGAAAGCCCUCUGGCCAAAUUCUCGCUGGAUCUCCCAGUGGCCGUUCAGCUUGGACCGCCUUUUCUCCUCUUAUUCCAGUGAUAGUCCAGGAUAUCUUUUUGCCUUUUUUCCCUUAAGACUUCCCUGUUCUUGGUAUUUGGGAUUUUCUCAUUUUGAAUCUGGGGGUGAAGAGGGGAAUUUAGGGGAUAUUGGUCACUUGUCUUCUGUGUCCAAAUGUGAGUGUCUUGCUUUGGAUUAGGAAACCCCUAACUAAUGAAUGUUGUUAGGGGCAAAGACCACUCCAACAGUAGAAGCUAGAAAUAUUAGAUACUACCUUACCCAUCUCUGGGUGUAGCCAGGACAUUGAAUGUGAUUCAGGCUCUGCUGAUUAGAUGUGUCCCUGUUAGACAUUGACAUAGACCCCAGGAGCCAGGGAUAUAAGGGACAGGAGUCCUUUGUCCUCUGGCAAGGGUAAUUUCCUCCUCAGAACCAGUCCUGGGCCAUGUUGAUGGGCAUGGCCCAGUUGCCUUGUACCAAGUCAGUUUUCUAGUCCUGACUAGAAAUUGUUAGUUCUGGCAGCUAACAAUUCUACAUGAUCCAAAAAAGUGAGGGAUAUCGUUUAAGGAGGGAGGGAGACAGCCUCUGCCUUGGUGUCUCACCUUCCAGGAGUAAAGACAUGUCCCAAGUAAUGGGUAGCUCCAUGCACAAGAGAAGAGACAGCGGAGAAGAUAAGACAUGCAAGAGGAAGGAUCAUGGAAGAGAGACCCAGAACAUUUGCUUAACCAGAUCUUUUUAUAAGUUUUAGUCCUUAAUCAGAAAGCAAUGUAUCUUUCUUAGUACAGUAACCUCAUAAUGCAUUCCUGAGGAGCCCAGUUAGUCCUUGCCCCUGUCCAUCCCACCUCCUUCAGGCAGUAGAACAGAAGAAGGGUCUUCAUCUCACCCCAGCUAAAGCAUCUCUGCUUCCAGAAAGUGUGGAUGAGUGGGAGCCAUAAACCUGGGAAAUAAGCCACAUGCUACCCUUUUGGUUGUUGUUUAUUUUAACAAAAUUCUAUGACCCCAGGACCAUGUUUCUAAGAGUAGCCACUUGAAGCAGAAGGAAAUAUUUAGUCAAAUUCUACAAUCACAACCAAAUACGGUCUAAUGGCAGCCAGCAGACACUGUGGAAAGGGAGUGUCACACGCCAUUCUAAUGUGGGGAGUAAGGAUGAUGAAGAAUCAGUCAUAGGUCCCUGUUGUAGCUCCAUCUGGGGAGUGGAACUCAUAGGGUAUAAGUGAUUAUUUCCUAUUCAUUUCGUUAGCCCUGAACCGUCCAAAUGACCACACACAACUUGACUGGCAAGAGGUGUUUAGACUGUUGAGACAUGGUCAGAAAUGAUUGGUGGUUUCAUGUGAUGCAAAGAAUUUCCCAUACUCCGCCUAACUGUUUUCUGGAUCACCUGUCCCCAGAAAUUGCCUGAAAACAAAUCACAGGUUGAAACUAGAAAUAACUUCCCUCUCCUAGGCGGCUUGGAGACUGGCCACCCUGUUUCUUGGUUUGGUAAGAAUGGUCCAGACACAAGGAGGGGAGCAACACACACUGGGGCCUGUCGGAGGUGGGGUAUGGGGAGGGAGAGCAUUAGGAAAAAUAGCUAAUGCAUGCUGGGCUUAAUACCUAGGUGAUGGGUUGAUAGGUGCAGCAAACCACCGUGGCACACAUUUACCUAAGUAACGAACCUGCACAUCCUGCACGUUACCCAAGAACUUAAAAUGAAAAUAAAAAUUAAAAAAAAAAGAAUAGUCCAGAAAGUCAGGAAAAGCCUAACUAAAAAAGUCUUUUUAGGCAAGAGAGCAUUGUAAGUAGGAUGUAGAGGAAGCUCCCCUGCUUAAAACCUGUUAAUGGUCUUCUGUAGCUUUCAAGUUCUAGCUUCUCUUGCCUCCACGACUCAACUCCCCAACCCUCCUUCCAAGUGUGCAAGAUGACUCACCCUAAGUACUGAGUCCAGAGCCAAGCUCUCGGUUUGCAUCCCAGCUCUUUGCCACUUACUACAGACCAUGUGACCUUGGGCAAGUCACCUAACCUCUCUCUGCCUCACUUUCUUAAUCUGAGAAGGGGGGGAUGAUGACCACCCGUUUCAUCAGGUUGCUGUGCAUACAAAUGGGCGAAUAUGUGUAAACUGCUGAGAACAGUGCCUAGCAAAUAGUAAGCCCUAUGUAAAUGUUUGCUGAUGUUGUGUUCCACUAUUCCGUGGCUUUGAAGAUGCUGCUCUCUCAUCCUGCAAUGCCACCUUACCUUACCUAGCAAAUUCCAACGUGUCCGUUAACAUUCAGCUCAAGGCUGGGCACAGUGACUGACAUCUGUCAUCCCCAAACUUUGGGAAACUGAGGCAGGAGGAUCUCUUGAGCCCAGGAGUUUGAGAUCAGCCUGGGCAAGGUAGCAAGCUCUCAUCUCCACAAAAAAAUUUAAAAAUUAUCCAGAGGUGGUGGCAUGCACCUAUAGUCUUAGCUACUCCAAACACUGAGGCAGGAGGAUCGCUUGACACCAGGAAUUUGAGGCUACGGUGAGCUCUGCUCUCACCUCUGCACUACAGCCUGGGUGACAGAGCAAGACCCUGUCUCUAAAAAGUUUUAAUUUUUAAUUUUUUAAAAAAUGUUUUUAAUGUAUCUCAAGCCCUACCUCCUGCAGCAAAGUGUUCUGGGCACCCAGGUCCGAUAUAGGGCCUUGUCCAUGCUUCCUGAAAAUAUAUCUUCUGUAGCAUUCAAUGCACUGGAAUGCCUAUGUUAGCUGAAAGUUACUGACCACAAUUGCGGUGGCCUGGAGGAUUGGUGAGCCCAGCUGUGAAGUUUAGAGGCUUGCUAUCUUGCCCAGGCUGAUCUCAACAAGUAAACAUUAGUUUAUUCAUCUGUCUUCUCCCUGGUUUCAAGCCCCUGGAGUGUAGGGCCACAUCUUACUUGGCAUUGUAUCCAGCAGUCAACAUAGUCCUAGAAUACAGAAGGCCCUCAUGUUGAAUGAAUAGUAAAACCCUCCUGAAAUACAUUAAAUUCAUAUGUUUAUUUACUCACUCAUUCUCUUCCUUUGUUCAAAAAACAUCUCUUGAGCCUCUGUGAUGUAAACCAAGUGCUUUUUUACCAGCAGCUUCUCUCUGAUGAUCUAUCUGCAAUCUCUGUGUCAGUCCUCACAUUUAACUAGGACAAAAAGAGAACAUAGAUUCUUAGUAGCUUUGCUCAUGACCUGACUUUAACAAGAAAAAUUUUAGAGACCAAAAGUCUGACUGAUAGCUGAGUGAGUUCUUUCUUUCAAACUCAAAGCCCUGUUUGAGCCUCUAAACUUCACAGCUGGGCUUGCAAAUCCUCCAGGCCACCGCAUUUGUGAUCAGUAUCUUUCAGCUAACAUAGGCAUUCCAGAAGAUGUUCUGCCCUAAACGUAAUUGGAAUCCUUUUUGAAUCAGUUGCCACAGUACUUGUGAAGUUUUUUAUGCUAACUUCUUAGGUAUAUUGCCUCAAGAUGGAUUCAAGAUGUGGCCAGUUCUCUUGUGAGAAGAAUACAUUUCUGUUGUCCUAAGUGUAGAGACCCUCUAGUUCAUGUAAUAGCCCUGCAAAGCAAUCUGCUAUUACCAGUCCCAGCAUCCAUUUCUCCUUCCUUCCUUAGUAAUAAAACCCCGCUUUGGCUGAGCACCUUGUUGCCCAGAAUUAAACACUGUUUUACCAGCUUCCCUGAUGGGUGUGGUCAGGUUACUAAGAUCUGGCCAAAGAUGUGUGUAUGAGUUUUCUAUGCUGCUGCAAAUUACUACAAACUUAGUGGCUUAAAACAACUCACAUUU